UGGAUGAGCCCGCGGCCUAUCAGCUAGUUGGUGAGGUAACGGCUCACCAAGGCGUCGACGGGUAGCCGGCCUGAGAGGGUGACCGGCCACACUGGGACUGAGACACGGCCCAGACUCCUACGGGAGGCAGCAGUGGGGAAUAUUGCACAAUGGGCGAAAGCCUGAUGCAGCGACGCCGCGUGAGGGAUGACGGCCUUCGGGUUGUAAACCUCUUUCAGCAGGGAAGAAGCGAAAGUGACGGUACCUGCAGAAGAAGCGCCGGCUAACUACGUGCCAGCAGCCGCGGUAAU
rnacentral:rRNA from 1 species